AGAGUUUGAUCCUGGCUCAGGAUGAAUGCUAGCGGCAGGCUUAACACAUGCAAGUCGAAGGGCAUCGCGGGGAGUGCUUGCACUCCCUGGCGGCGACUGGCGCACGGGUGAGUAACACGUAUGCAACCUGCCCUCCACAGGGGGACAACCUUCCGAAAGGGAGGCUAAUCCCGCGUAAAUCUCGAUGGGGCAUCCCAUUGAGAGGAAAGCUUCGGCGGUGGAGGAUGGGCAUGCGGCGCAUUAGCUAGUCGGCGGGGUAACGGCCCACCGAGGCGACGAUGCGUAGGGGUUCUGAGAGGAAGGUCCCCCACACUGGUACUGAGACACGGAUCAGACUCCUACGGGAGGCAGCAGUGAGGAAUAUUGGUCAAUGGGCGGGAGCCUGAACCAGCCAAGCCGCGUGAGGGAAUAAGGCCCUAUGGGUCGUAAACCUCUUUUGUCGGGGAACAAAAGCGGGGACGCGUCCCCGUCUGCGUGUACCCGAAGAAAAAGCAUCGGCUAACUCCGUGCCAGCAGCCGCGGUAAUACGGAGGAUGCGAGCGUUAUCCGGAUUUAUUGGGUUUAAAGGGUGCGUAGGCGGUAUGGUAAGUCAGCGGUAAAAGCCCGGGGCUCAACCCCGGCGAGCCGUUGAAACUGCCGUGCUAGAGAGGAAGAGAAGUAGGCGGAAUGCGCAGUGUAGCGGUGAAAUGCUUAGAUAUUGCGCAGAACUCCGAUUGCGAAGGCAGCCUACCGGCUUCUGUCUGACGCUGAGGCACGAAAGCGUGGGUAUCGAACAGGAUUAGAUACCCUGGUAGUCCACGCAGUAAACGAUGAAUG
rnacentral:rRNA from 1 species